rnacentral:pre_miRNA from 1 species
UGUUCACUAGGCGCAAAAAGAUGCAGACGAAAAGAUGUAGGUGUUUACCUACGUCUUUUCGUCUGUGUCUUUUUGCGCCCAGUGAACA